UUUAAUGUUUUUUUCUUUUUGUUCCUAUCGAUUUGAAAAAAUUAAGAAAGAACUACAAAACUCUUAUAUAUGAAAACUUUUGUAUCUCUUGAAAUAAGAAAGUUAAUAGGAAAUGACGGUUAUAAGGGAACACACAGUACAUAUGUUAGAAAAUACUUUUCGAUAUGGUAGUCUGUAUGGAAAUAUUCCUUCGUGCUCCCGCACAGCGACACGCGUAUUACCAUUGCAAUAACAGUAAUUAAAAUUAAAGACACUGUAAAUGAGAAACAUUUUAAUUUUUAAUGAAUAAAUAUGAUGGUAACUCUAUUUCGCAUUAUAAAAGUCCUUUCUGCAACAGCACUGUCUGCCCAUACUACUAUUCUAUAAAACAGUGUUGAGUGCACCACGAAGAGAAUGUGAGUGUCAUCGAGUGAUUAAUUUCGAAGAAUUAAUCAGAAAUGAAAUGUUUGCGGUGGUGUCCUCUGCGAGUUUAUAAUUGACGAAAAUAGUCUCGCCUGGCUUUUGUCCAACGAAGCUUUUCGUUUACUUUUGCAAAAAUUUCGACUACAUUUAUUCACAACGAUCGUAGAGUGCGGUGGUGCGACAACAGUGCCUAAUAAAAUAGGCUAGUGAGUAUUUUUGGGAGUAGGCGUCGGAAAACACUCGUUACAUUGACGCUUGCAGAGAUGUCAUUGAGGGCGCGUUACAAUCCCGUAUAUGGACGCGAGUUAUACUUGGGAGACACCAGAUACGUUCCCGAUUAUCGGCUUCACAGAUCGUACGAAUUUUACGAUUUUUGGCCGAUGAAACUUAAGAUUAGAUUGUGGAAUAGACCGUUCAGACGCUGGCUGACGUCUCCAUCGUUAUUCAGGCAACAGCUUUAUUCCAACAAGAGUGAUCUGAUACUCGAAUCGGCAACUUCGCGAUUGUCCCGUUCCAUCGUUAGAUAUUAGCAUUGCAUUUAUUUUAUUGUAUUCGUAAACAUUAUAUUUGAUUUAAGUUACUGGGUGUUUUUAAUCGGCACGCCCCUGUUGUCAAUUUGGCAAAAUUAGCUGUAUUAAAAUCAAACUUGUCACGUAAAUAGUGAAAUUAUGUUAUUUGUAAUUAACAUCUGUGUGUUAAUGGUAAAAAAUGAAAACAAAAAAAAAACAAAAAAACAGAAUAAUCAAAAAUAAACGAAUAGCUAAAUGAAAAA